CCUUCUCUCCUUUGUGAGAGUUUUCUUCCCCCUUUGGUGAGGGUCUUCAGCUUGUCCACCUUCUUAGGCGCCGACUCCAGCCAACCUGGAGUCGGUUGCCAUUUUUCCUUUUCUUCUUCUGUUUUCCCCUUCUCUACUCCGUUCUUCUCUUUUCCUUUUCUUCUUCUAUUUUCUUCUCCUGAUGUUUUUCAUCCUCCUUCAUCUUCCUUUUACCCCCACCCAGUGGCUUGUUUGCCACUCAAACCCCUUUGCAUCUGCUAUCUCUACUUUCAAUCCCUUUUCCAAUUUCUCCCUUUUAUUCCUUUCUUCCACCUUUUUCUUUUGUUUCCUUUCAUCUUCCUUCCACCUUUUAUCCUUCUUUCCAACUUUUCCCCUUAUUUUUUUUCCACCUUUUCCCCCUCUUUUCCCCCACGUUCCCCGAUCCAGAUCGGCUUCAUCCUUCUCCGACUUCACAGUCCGACUUGGCUCCCACUUUUUUUCAACGUGAUUUUUUGUGCUUCUCCCAGAAGGUGAGUAGAGCUUUUGCUCGGGUGUUCACACCACCUCCUUCCUAUGGUUUGCCUUUGUUGGCACUAUUGCUAGUGGGUUUUAUCCUGCUAGCUUCCUUCGAUUUAUGGCAGCUAUUACUAUGGUGUGCUGUGGAGGAGUUUGGGGCUCUGUUUUGGGGUCUUGUUGUCACUCUGUUUUCAUCCAGCUUUGGGGCUAUAAUUCUGUUGAUUUCCGAUGGUUGCAGGGGCUGUUCGUUUGGUAAGCAGGUUGAUGAUGGAGGUAGGAAGCUGCUAGGGUUUACUUUGGUGUUUUUCCUGUUCAGGCCUCAAAACUAUGUUUUGGGUUGUUGGGUUACUAUGGAGGUCCAUCUUUUUGUUUGUGUGUUUCUUGUAUUUGGGCCUUCUCUAAUGUAAUCUGUUAUGUUAUAAAUAAAGUAAGCUGUUGUCCAAAACAAAAACAAAAAAAAAAAAAACACCUUUUCUAGUGUUUAGAGCCAUGGUAAACUUUGGGGUCGGCGACAACCCUCUUUCUUUCGGUUUUUUUCUCCUUCAGGCCUUAACUCGCACCUCUCCCUUCCAAAGCUCUUCACCCACUGUUUUGGAGCAACUCUCUAUUGUUUAAUGGACUUCGAUCCGAAAGUCUCCUCUACGCUCUCUUUUGAGUUUAGAUCCAUGGGAUUUUGGGUGGUAUUACAGUUGUGGUGGGUCCAAAUCACCUUCAUGGCUUAGUUGUAGUUUGUGUUUGUUUGUGCCGUUAGAGGUUGUGGAGUCACUUUCGC
rnacentral:lncRNA from 1 species